UCUUAGCCCUGAUAGAAACAGCAUCCUUUUAUGGUGGGGUUCACCAUAAAAGAUAGAGUGGAUAGCAGGACUGCUG
rnacentral:sRNA from 1 species